UCAGGAUGAACGCUAGCGGCAGGCUUAACACAUGCAAGUCGAGGGGCAGCGCGGGGCGGCAACGUCCUGGCGGCGACCGGCGGAAGGGUGCGUAACGCGUGAGCGACAUGCCCGUUGCCCGGGGACAACCGGUGGAAACGCCGACUAAUCCCCGAUGGGACGGAGGCCCUCAUGGGUCUCUGUUGAAAGUUACGGCGGCGACGGAUUGGCUCGCGUCCGAUUAGCUUGUUGGCGGGGUAACGGCCCACCAAGGCUACGAUCGGUAGGGGUUCUGAGAGGAAGGUCCCCCACAAUGGGACUGAGACACGGUCCAUACUCCUACGGGAGGCAGCAGUGAGGAAUAUUGGUCAAUGGGCGGAAGCCUGAACCAGCCAUGCCGCGUGCGGGAAGGAGGCCCUAUGGGCUGUGAACCGCUUUUGCCUGGGGGCAAUAAGGGCGUCGUGCACGUCCGAUGAGAGUACCAGGCGAAUAAGCAUCGGCUAACUCCGUGCCAGCAGCCGCGGUAAUACGGGGGAUGCGAGCGUUAUCCGGAUUCAUUGGGUUUAAAGGGUGCGUAGGCUGUGCGUCAAGUCAGGGGUGAAAUUCCGGGGCUCAACUCCGGGGCUGCCCUUGAUACUGUCGCGCUGGAGUGCGGAUGCCGCCGGAGGAAUGAGUGGUGUAGCGGUGAAAUGCUUAGAUAUCACUCAGAACACCGAUUGCGAAGGCAUCUGGCGAAUCCGUAACUGACGCUGAGGCACGAAAGCGUGGGGAUAGAACAGGAUUAGAUACCCUGGUAUUCCACGCCGUAAACGAUGAUGGCUAACCGCCGGCGACACACUGUCGGUGGCCAAGCGAAAGCGAUAAGCCAUCCACCUGGGGAGUACGUCGGCAACGAUGCAACUCAA
rnacentral:rRNA from 1 species